UACAGAGGGGGCAAGCGUUGUUCGGAAUUACUGGGCGUAAAGGGCGCGUAGGCGGCCUGCUAAGUCGAACGUGAAAUCCCUGGGCUCAACCCAGGAACUGCGUCCGAUACUGGUUGGCUUGAAUCCGGGAGAGGGACGUGGAAUUCCAGGUGUAGCGGUGAAAUGCGUAGAUAUCUGGAGGAACACCGGUGGCGAAGGCGGCAUCCUGGGCCGACCCUGACGCUGAGGCGCGAAAGCGUGGGGAGCAAACAGG
rnacentral:rRNA from 1 species